GAUGAACGCUGGCGGCGUGCCUAAUACAUGCAAGUCGAGCGAACAGACGAGGAGCUUGCUCCUCUGACGUUAGCGGCGGACGGGUGAGUAACACGUGGAUAACCUACCUAUAAGACUGGGAUAACUUCGGGAAACCGGAGCUAAUACCGGAUAAUAUAUUGAACCGCAUGGUUCAAUAGUGAAAGACGGCUUUGCUGUCACUUAUAGAUGGAUCCGCGCCGCAUUAGCUAGUUGGUAAGGUAACGGCUUACCAAGGCAACGAUGCGUAGCCGACCUGAGAGGGUGAUCGGCCACACUGGAACUGAGACACGGUCCAGACUCCUACGGGAGGCAGCAGUAGGGAAUCUUCCGCAAUGGGCGAAAGCCUGACGAAGCAACGCCGCGUGAGUGAUGAAGGUCUUCGGAUCGUAAAACUCUGUUAUUAGGGAAGAACAAAUGUGUAAGUAACUAUGCACGUCUUGACGGUACCUAAUCAGAAAGCCACGGCUAACUACGUG
rnacentral:rRNA from 1 species